rnacentral:rRNA from 1 species
UGGUUAAAGUAGAAAGAGCGUAGGGUGGAUGCCUUGGCACUAAGAGCCGAUGAAAGACGUGAUAAGCUGCGAUAAGCUGCGGGGAGGAGCAAAUAUCCUUUGAUCCGCAGAUCUCUGAAUGGGGAAACCCGGCGGAGGAUUCCUCCGUCAGCGUAUGGUGAAUUCAUAGCCAUGCGCGGGGAACCCGGGGAACUGAAACAUCUAAGUACCCGGAGGAAGAGAAAGAAACCUCGAUUUCCAAAGUAGCGGCGAGCGAAAUGGAAAAAGCCCAAACCAGGAUGCGUGCAUCCUGGGGUUCGGACUGCAACAUGGGAUUAUGUAUGACAGGAGAGCGGCCUGGGAAGGCCGGCCAGAGAGGGUGAAAGCCCCGUAUCCGAAGUCAGAAGUACCCUAGCAGAAUCCAGAGUACCACGAGACACGAGAAACCUUGUGGGAAUGAGCGGGGACCACCCCGUAAGGCUAAAUACUCCUUAGUGACCGAUAGCGCAUAGUACUGUGAAGGAAAGGUGAAAAGGACCCCGGGAGGGGAGUGAAAGAGAACCUGAAACCCUAUGUUUACAAGCUGUGGAACCUCCUUUUGAGAGGAACUGCGUACUUUUUGUAGAACGGUCCGGCGAGUUACCCGUACUGGCAAGGUUAAGGACUUAAGGUCUGGAGCCGAAGUGAAAGCGAGCGUUAAGAGCGCGUUUUAAGUCAGUGAGGGUAGACCCGAAACCGGGUGACCUAUCCAUGUCCAGGUUGAAGCUUCCGUAAGAGGAAGUGGAGGACCGAACCCACAUCCGUUGAAAAGGGUGGGGAUGAGGUGUGGAUAGCGGAGAAAUUCCAAUCGAACCCGGAGAUAGCUGGUUCUCCUCGAAAUAGCUUUAGGGCUAGCCUCUGGUAAGAGUCUGGUGGAGGUAGAGCACUGAAUUGUCUAGGGGGCGUCAAAGCUUACCAAAACAUAUCAAACUCCGAAUGCCAUACAGAUGAUGCCAGGGAGUCAGACUGUACGAGAUAAGUUGGACAGUCGAAAGGGAAACAGCCCAGACCACCAGCUAAGGUCCCAAAGUACGUGUUAAGUGGAAAAGGAUGUGGGAUUUCAGAGACAACUAGGACGUUGGCUUAGAAGCAGCCAUACAUUGAAAGAGUGCGUAAUAGCUCACUAGUCGAGAGAUCCUGCGCCGAAAAUGUCCGGGGCUAAAACACGACACCGAAGCUGUGGAAUGUAUUGAUACAUUGGUAGAGGAGCAUUGUAAACGGGAUGAAGCCAUACCGUAAGGAGUGGUGGACUGUUUAGAAGAGAGAAUGCCGGAAUGAGUAGCGAGAGGAAGGUGAGAAUCCUUCCGGCCGAAUAUCUAAGGUUUCCAGAGUAAAGCUGAUCUGCUCUGGGUAAGUCGGGACCUAAGGCGAGGGCGAGAGCCGUAGUCGAUGGACAACUGGUUGAAAUUCCAGUACCGCAUAAAAACAGAACUGUGGGGACACAGAAGGGAAAUGGGAGCCAGGAAUGGAAAGACUGGCGCAAGCAGAGGAGCCGUAUGGGAGGAAAAUCCCUCAUGCAAGGCAAAGCUGUGACGCGGACCGAACAAAAGUAGGGAAGCCCAGGCCCCCGGCUGUCAAGAAAAGCCACUAUUGUUUUUUAUGCGCCCGUACCGUAAACCGACACAGGUGGAUGAGGAGAGAAUCCUAAGGCCGACGGGAGAAGUGUUGUUAAGGAACUCGGCAAAAUGACUCCGUAACUUCGGGAGAAGGAGUGCCAUCGAAAGAUGGCCGCAGAGAAUUGGCCCAAGCAACUGUUUAGCAAAAACACAGGUCUAUGCAAAACCGCAAGGUGAAGUAUAUGGGCUGACGCCUGCCCGGUGCUGGAAGGUUAAGGGGAGGGCUUAGCGAGUGAUCGCGAAGGUCUGAACUUAAGCCCCAGUAAACGGCGGCCGUAACUAUAACGGUCCUAAGGUAGCGAAAUUCCUUGUCGGGUAAGUUCCGACCCGCACGAAAGGCGUAAUGAUUUGGGCACUGUCUCAACAACACACCCGGUGAAAUUGAAAUACCAGUGAAGAUGCUGGUUACCUGCGCCAGGACGGAAAGACCCCAUGGAGCUUUACUCCAGCUUGAUACUGGGAUUCGGUACUGCAUGUACAGGAUAGGUGGGAGGCUGUGAAGGAAGGACGCCAGUCCUUCUGGAGCCGCUGUUGGGAUACCACCCUUGCAGUAUUGGAUUUCUAACCAACAGCCGUGAUCCGGCUGGGGGACAAUGUCAGGUGGGGAGUUUGACUGGGGCGGUCGCCUCCGAAAGGGUAUCGGAGGCGCUCAAAGGUCUUCUCAGAAUGGUCGGAAACCAUUCGCAGAGUGCAAAGGCAGAAGAAGGCUUGACUGUGACACCGACGGGUGGAGCAGGUACGAAAGUAGGACUUAGUGAUCCGGUGGUAUAACGUGGGAUUGCCAUCGCUCAACGGAUAAAAGCUACCCUGGGGAUAACAGGCUUAUCACUCCCAAGAGUUCACAUCGACGGAGUGGUUUGGCACCUCGAUGUCGGCUCAUCGCAUCCUGGAGCUGUAGCAGGUUCCAAGGGUUGGGCUGUUCGCCCAUUAAAGCGGUACGCGAGCUGGGUUCAGAACGUCGUGAGACAGUUCGGUCCCUAUCCGGCGCAGGCGGAGGAAAUUUGAUAGGAGCUGUCCUUAGUACGAGAGGACCGGGAUGGACGGACCACUGGUGGAUCUGUUGUAUUACCAAAUGCAUAGCAGAGUAGCCAAGUCUGGAAGGGAUAAACGCUGAAGGCAUCUAAGCGUGAAGCCCCCCUAAAGAUAAGAUUUCCCAUAGAGUAAUCUAGUAAGACCCCUUGAAGACGACGAGGUAGAUAGGGCAGAGGUGGAAGUGCGGCAACGUAUGGAGCUGACUGUUACUAAUCGGUCGAGGCUUUAACCAAAG